rnacentral:lncRNA from 1 species
ACAAAAGGAGCAGUGACAUUCUCUUUUGAAACUAAGAAUACAGCCUAGUUAUGCAAACCUUAAUUGCUGCCUUAACAAAACACAGGUUUGGAUUGUUUUAAUUGGAUUGGAAAUAUGCUCUCCCUGCCCCCUGUGUCAUCAACUAAAUUAACACCUGGUUGUAAAUGCUCCCCUGCAGACAACACAAAUACUGAGUUUGGAGUCUAUGGAAUAUGUCUGAGGAAACACUUGGGCUUUGUGGACCAAGCUCUCAUUUUGCUGCAUCGUGUUAUGGCCUUCCCUAUUGGAAAUCUAAUACUUCUAUAAAACCUUGAGAUCCAAAUUACAGAGGGCACCAGGCUCCUGUAAACUUCUCUCAAUGCAAAUGCUACUUUCUACGGAACUUUUGUGAGAAGUGAUUCCCUAUGAAGGUUUUGGGAGCAUACAUACGUGCUUCUGCUGCAUCCUACUGACUAUCAUAUCAACGUCACUGGGACUAGAGAAGAAACAGGAGAACAUCAGUCAGGAGAACAUCAGUCAUGUGGCUAAACUGCUUCUGUUCAGCUCACUCAGUCAAGCAUCAUGCAAGAUGAGGAUUCCAUAUAAAGGAGGUGCUACAACACCUGCUACUUGUGUUGUGAGAGCAACUCAGAUGAUGGACAGUAGGUUCAUUACCAUUGCCAAUAUACAGAUGAACCAAGAUGAAUUUGAUAGAUGGAAAUUUCAUGUUUGACAACACAAUUUAGCAUAGCCUAUGUGGCCAGGUUCUGACAUGUCAAGGCUCUUCCUUGCCUCUUCUCCUUCCAAAAGACCAGCUCUCUCCAUUGCUACCAAGCAGUGAAAACACUAUGAUGGAACUAAGAGUAUUUCAAAUAGCUUGCCCUAGUGCAGCUUGCAUUAUGUUUGAGCAUUUGUUCCAAAAACUGUCCCUGUGUGAGGUGAGAUGCAGGAGCACUGGCAGAGCAAAGAGCAAAGGUGAUGGUCUCAGCUAUAUGGACAAGGUUUAUAUCCACUCCUGAGUUAAGAAGUGCUAGUAGAUCUUAGUGUUAUUUAUUCAGCUGGUAGCUGUUAUUUUGGUGGUAGAUUUCAAUGGCAUGGAUAGAGGAGACAAAUGAUGGUCGUUGGUGUGCUACAUGUGCAGGUGCUGUUGGUUAUGUGCCAUGAAGUAAAGUGUCUCAAUCUUGGAUGUGACUGGAAACUCUGGAGAUGUGAGAUGGUCUUAAAAAUGAAGGCAAGGAUAGCUCUUUCAGCCUUGGUGUUGUGCCAGGGAUGGCAUUCAGGAGUCUACUGAGAGGGAGUGGUUGAUGCCAGAGUACAGGGGAAAACA